rnacentral:sRNA from 1 species
CCUGGUGCUGUGGCGUAUGCCUGUAAUCCCAGUGACUUGGAAGGAUGAGGCAGGAGGAUCACAAGUUCAAGGACAGCUUCAGCAACUUAGUGAGACCAUGUCUCUC